UCUGCCACCUGCUGGCCAACCCCAACCUGCCGGCCCAGAAACCCUGCACACCCUGCCCAGCCCUUCUCUACCUCCCAGCCCUUCUCCACCUCCCAGCCCUUCUCCACCUGCCAGCCUGUCUCCACCUCCCAGCCCUUCUCCACCUCCCAGCCCUUCUCCACCUGCCAGCCCUUCUCCACCUGCCAGCCCUUUUCCACCUGCCAGCCCUUCUCAACCUUCCAGCCCUUCUCCACCUGCCAGCCCUAUCCCAUCUGCCAGUAGUCUACCUCUGGAUGUGAAGGACAUCCUUCUGCCACUGCAGGACCUUGUGCUGAAGAUGGGUCAGGGAAGCCGGGUGAACGCUCUAAGGGGGGAGGAGUUACAAUGUGCCGCUAGGGCCUUCAACAGGUCCAGUUUUGACCCCUACACAAGAUUGGAUGUGGUGUUUGUGGAUGGCGAUGGGGUGGCAGAAGGAGCAGUGGAUGAGGGGGGACCGAGAGUUCUGUACCCUCCUCAUCCACCAAAUACAGAACUUCUUUAUAUUUGAAGGUCCUGAGGGCAACAAAACCCUGGCCCUGAACAGUGUUGCAUUGCAGAAAGGACAGUACAGGCUGGUGGGGAAGAUGAUUGCCCUCUGCCUGGUGCAGGGGCAGGUCUCUCCGAGAUUCCUAUCACAGUGCCUCUACAGACAGGUUUGUAAUCUGUCCCCUCUUCCUGCCACUUUGGAAGAGGUGACAGAUUACAAUUUGAGGACCAAGCUCCAAAAGGCAAGUAAAUGGUUAAUGUUAAUUGAAACCGCUUUUUGGAGAAGUGUUUUUGUGUCAAGAUACUGUGUGGUGUGCUCUAUAGUGUACUGAUGUUGAAUUUCAAAGUAUGAUUUAUGUCAUACACAUAUGUCAAUGCAUUCUUUACUGUUAGAAGAUAAUUUGUGCC